GACGAACGCUGGCGGCGUGCUUAACACAUGCAAGUCGAACGGUAAGGCCCUUCGGGGUACACGAGUGGCGAACGGGUGAGUAACACGUGGGUGAUCUGCCCUGCACUUCGGGAUAAGCCUGGAAAACUGGGUCUAAUACCGGAUAGGACCACUGCCUGCAUGGGUGGGGGUGGAAAGCUUUUGCGGUGUGGGAUGGGCCCGCGGCCUAUCAGCUUGUUGGGGGGGUGAUGGCCUACCAAGGCGACGACGGGUAGCCGGCCUGAGAGGGUGACCGGCCACACUGGGACUGAGAUACGGCCCAGACUCCUACGGGAGGCAGCAGUGGGGAAUAUUGCACAAUGGGCGCAAGCCUGAUGCAGCGACGUCGCGUGAGGGAUGACGGCCUUCGGGUUGUAAACCUCUUUCAGCACCGACGAAGCGCAAGUGACGGUAGGUGCAGAAGAAGGACCGGCCAACUACGUGCCAGCCGCCGCAGUAACAC
rnacentral:rRNA from 1 species